rnacentral:rRNA from 1 species
UAACACGUGGGUAACCUGCCUGUAAGACCGGGAUAACUCCGGGAAACCGGAGCUAAUACCGGAUAGUUCCUUGAACCGCAUGGUUCAAGGAUGAAAGACGGUUUCGGCUGUCACUUACAGAUGGACCCGCGGCGCAUUAGCUAGUUGGUGAGGUAACGGCUCACCAAGGCGACGAUGCGUAGCCGACCUGAGAGGGUGAUCGGCCACACUGGGACUGAGACACGGCCCAGACUCCUACGGGAGGCAGCAGUAGGGAAUCUUCCGCAAUGGACGAAAGUCUGACGGAGCAACGCCGCGUGAGUGAUGAAGGUUUUCGGAUCGUAAAGCUCUGUUGUUAGGGAAGAACAAGUGCAAGAGUAACUGCUUGCACCUUGACGGUACCUAACCAGAAAGCCACGGCUAACUACGUGCCAGCAGCCGCGGUAAUACGUAGGUGGCAAGCGUUGUCCGGGAUUUUUUGGCGUAAAGGGCUCGCAGGCGGUUUCUUAAAGUCUGAUGUGAAAGCCCCCGGCUUCAACCGGGGAGGGUCAUUGGAAACUGGGAAACUUGAGUGCAGAAGAGGAGAGUGGAAUUCCACGUGUAGCGGUGAAAUGCGUAGAGAUGUGGAGGAACACCAGUGGCGAAGGCGACUCUCUGGUCUGUAACUGACCGCUGAGGAGCGAAAGCGUGGGGGAGCGAACAGGAUUAGAUACCCUGGUAGUCCACGCCGUAAACGAUGAGUGCUAAGUGUUAGGGGGUUUCCGCCCCUUAGUGCUGCAGCUAACGCAUUAAGCACUCCGCCUGGGGAGUACGGUCGCAAGACUGAAACUCAAAGGAAUUGACGGGGGCCCGCACAAGCGGUGGAGCAUGUGGUUUAAUUCGAAGCAACGCGAAGAACCUUACCAGGUCUUGACAUCCUCUGACAACCCUAGAGAUAGGGCUUUCCCUUCGGGGACAGAGUGACAGGUGGUGCAUGGUUGUCGUCAGCUCGUGUCGUGAGAUGUUGGGUUAAGUCCCGCAACGAGCGCAACCCUUGAUCUUAGUUGCCAGCAUUCAGUUGGGCACUCUAAGGUGACUGCCGGUGACAAACCGGAGGAAGGUGGGGAUGACGUCAAAUCAUCAUGCCCCUUAUGACCUGGGCUACACACGUGCUACAAUGGACAGAACAAAGGGCUGCGAGACCGCAAGGUUUAGCCAAUCCCACAAAUCUGUUCUCAGUUCGGAUCGCAGUCUGCAACUCGACUGCGUGAAGCUGGAAUCGCUAGUAAUCGCGGAUCAGCAUGCCGCGGUGAAUACGUUGCCGGGCCUUGUACACACCGCCCGUC